rnacentral:misc_RNA from 1 species
AGACCAAAUGCCCUAUCGUUUGGAACUUCACGUGGCAGCUCAAGAGUUGCUUCUGCAGUUAACCUGCGUCAAGAGGUAUCAAAAGUUGCUGGAGAUGUUGAAGAUGCCAAAAUCAUGCCUGCAAGGCAUGUAGCUAUCCCUCCUAAGUCCAGUGAGACUGCUGCAAAGAUAUUGGAGCAACUUGAAAAGCUAACUCCAAAGGGAAAAUCAUCAGAAUCCAAACUAGCUGCAGGGAAAGAGAAUAAAUUGACACAGAACAUGCUUCAUGGGCGAGCUCUUAGAAGUUUGGAGGAUUUGGAUUCACCCAAACUGCUGCAGAGCGGACAGGAUAGCUAUAAGCUGGAGAAUUGGUCUAAAGUUCUCUCUCCCAAUCCCAGAGAAUCAAAGCAAAGUGAAAUUAAACAAAAUGGACAUGCGAGCGAGUCAACUGCUAUAGCAA